ensembl:lincRNA 1700010I02Rik RIKEN cDNA 1700010I02 gene
AGGAACCGGGUCAGUAUCUUAGAGAAGAAAUGAUCAUCUGGAUUACCUAGAAUGAACUAUGAGAACUGAUGGUUGGAUCUGUUGUAACCAUUCAGGAGGGUAAACAUUCUGAUGAAGGAGUAAACAUUCAGCAAUUCGUGAUGAUGUCCUUUCACAUGCUUCUCCUAUGUACCUCUGCAAAUCUGAAUAAAUGUGGGGAAAGAGGCAAGAAGGCAAGACCAUCAGAAGAAUCUAAAGUGGUCUUUCAGGGUGAGUCUAAACAGAGAAGAGAAGAAGAGAAGAGAAGAGAAGAGAAGAGAAGAGAAGAGAAGAGAAGAGAAGAGAAGAGAAGAGAAGAGAAAAGAAGAAGAGAAGAAGAAUCUCUGUGGAAAUAUUUGCAAAGUCAUAGCAAAGGAUAAUUGAAUUACACCUAUUGACAUGGGAAUAAAAGUUUUAAAUUA